UUAGGGUUGGAGUUAGGGUUAGUGUUGGAGCUAGGGUUAGGGUUGGGCUUGGAGCUAGGAUUUUUCUGAGUGCACUGAACCAACUCCCGAGUCUCUAGGACAUUCCUAAAAAAAUUUGAUUUUUUCCCAUAGGAAUGCAUGGGUUAGGGUUAUGGUUAGGGUUAGGGUUGGAGCUAGGGUUAGGGUUAGGGUUAGGGUUGGAGUUAGGGUUAGUGUUGGAGCUAGGGUUAGGGUUGGGCUUGGAGCUAGGAUUUUUCUGAGUGCACUGAACCAACUCCCGAGUCUCUAGGACAUUCCUAAAAAAAUUAGAUUUUUUCCCAUAGGAAUGCAUGGGUUAGGGUUAUGGUUAGGGUUAGGGUUGGAGCUAGGGUUAGGGUUAGGGUUAGGGUUGGAGUUAGGGUUAGUGUUGGAGCUAGGGUUAGGGUUGGGCUUGGAGCUAGGAUUUUUCUGAGUGCAAUGAACCAACUCCCGAGUCUCUAGGACAUUCCUAAAAAAAUUUGAUUUUUUCCCAUAGGAAUGCAUGGGUUAGGGUUAUGGUUAGGGUUAGGGUUGGAGCUAGGGUUAGGGUUAGGGUUAGGGUUGGAGUUAGGGUUAGUGUUGGAGCUAGGGUUAGGGUUGGGCUUGGAGCUAGGAUUUUUCUGAGUGCAAUGAACCAACUCCCGAGUCUCUAGGACGUUCCUAAAAAAAUUUGAUUUUUUCCCAUAGGAAUGCAUGGGUUAGGGUUAGGGUUAGGGUUGGAGCUAGGGUUAGGGUUAGGGUUAGGGUUAGGGUUGGAGUUAGGGUUAGUGUUGGAGCUAGGGUUAGGGUUGGGCUUGGAGCUAGGAUUUUUCUGAGUGCACUGAACCAACUCCCGAGUCUCUAGGACAUUCCUAAAAAAAUUUGAUUUUUUCCCAUAGGAAUGCAUGGGUUAGGGUUAUGGUUAGGGUUAGGGUUGGAGCUAGGGUUAGGGUUAGGGUUAGGGUUGGAGUUAGGGUUAGUGUUGGAGCUAGGGUUAGGGUUGGGCUUGGAGCUAGGAUUUUUCUGAGUGCAAUGAACCAACUCCCGAGUCUCUAGGAUGUUCC